AUCUUUGCGCUUGGGGCAAUGACGCAGCUAGUGAGGUUAUAACCGAGGCGCGUCAAUUGCCGGUUGAAAACUAUUUCCAAACCCCCUCUUUGGUCUGGGUCUCUCCCUGCCAUUGAGAAUUUCUGGAAGUUCUCCCUUCGGGG
rnacentral:snRNA from 1 species